rnacentral:lncRNA from 1 species
AAACUUGCUAUUUAUACCCGACUUCAAAGGGUUAAUACAUUUUGAUAUGAUGAGACAUCACUUUGGUAACAGUUUUAUUUUCAUAUAUACUUUUACACAGGCCUACUAAAUGAUCACAAGCAUUAAACGAAGAAAGACUAUAUUCAUAGACAAGUUCGCGUUCAUCAAAAAAAUUAUUAACUAGAAUUACUUUAAUUGGAAAUGACUUAUGUUUUUUGUUUGGCAAUAAUAGCAUAACAAUAUUGUCAAGAGGUUACGUCUACAAGCUGCAGUGCGUUAACCUGUCGUUUCGUUUCAAAAAUUUUAAGCAGCGUCAGUUAUACAAUAAUGACAUGUAAUUUGCAUUUCUGGAUACCCUUAAAAAGACUGAAGAGUCAUGGUUGGGAGGCUUUUGAUCGUAUUGACUGCGCAAUCAAGGUUUAUCUGGGGCUAAACAUUUGCAAAAGCGUCUUUAAAACAAUUUCCCCACAUUAAAAAACACAUGCAUGCAGAAAUAGCUACACCGUCAAUGGCCGUAUUUACCCUCCUAAACACUACUGCUAGGCACACCACCAAUAAUAAAAUGCAGAGGAACAGCAACUUUCAGGCUCUGAUGGAGUACACCUUGCGUUCCUCUGCUGAGGAUAUCGACAGAAUCUACAGAGAUGAAAAAAUAGACUGGGCAGUGUGCAACAUGUCCAGGGUGUCACACAGCACUCCAUACAAUGAAUCACUUAGUCGGCGUGUAAAUUACUCCAGUGUCGCAUGUUUCAGUUUUGUGAACGCUUCACUUUCCGCCAUAACAAAUCCGCUUUUUUUACAUACCCACUGAAGUUUUACAACUUCAUAAAAUUUUCACUGUGUUAAAAAGUUCAAUAAUUUAUUCGUUUCUAUAUUUUUUGUAAAUGCUUAAGAAAAACGGUGACGCAUGAACGACUUGUCGAGUGAAAUUUGAGCUGUAAAGUGUCAAUGGAAAUUUUGCAUCACUUCUAACAUUUCAGCCUAGGAAUUACAUACCAUAGGCUACUCCUGUAGUACUGACCUAGGGCUAAACAACAACGAUCAGUUUAUGUCACAGACCACCUGAACACCAUUAGCCAAUGAGAAACGACUUAACCGGUGUACACGGUGUCUCGAUCAAUUCUUUUCAUUUCAUUUCCUACCAGAACCCUGGAAGCUGUGCAGUUGAUCAGCUUCAAAUGACUGUUAUACUUGUAUACAUGGUAAUCAGUCAGAUGUUAGGUUCAUAUAAAGAUCUAACGCAAAACAUUAUGCUAUUGUCUCCUGUGGGGAUUUGUCAUAAGAUGAAAUUUUAACGACAUUGUGGGGUUUCAUUUUGACCUUCUCACAAUCCCACUCCAUUGACAUAUUAUGUAAAUUUUUGAGCAGAAAAGGAAGUGGACAAAGGAAGGUUUGAUUGUGGAGCACUUCGCAAUGCUGGUGAAUAUCAGCAAUAGGACGGAAUGUUCGUUUUUUAACCGAAAAGAAACGAAAAUAUUAUCGUCAGCAAGUGUCAAAAAAAGAAUUGCUGCUGGGGAUAUGAGUCCAAUUCACAAUUAUAUCACUACCGUCACCGACACGGUUAUCCACAUGAAUAACACUAAUCAUGACAUCCAGUCACAAUUUACCACCAAUUCAACUGAUGUUUGUUGAAAUGGAUUUGAGAAUAUCUGAUGACAUUGGCAGAAACAAUAUUUGCUCUGGGUGAGAUUAUUUGCAAAAUAUCUCUCUUCAUUGUUCAGAAUGUUGACAAGCUGAUUUUGCAUUCUAAUUAAACUUGGACAACAUUAGAAAGGAAUUUGCUACAUUUUCAGGCUUCGGAAUAGAUCACAGUUGGUUAAGAUAGAGGUGUAAAAACAUCAUACCUAUAUGAUACUGUUGAAAGUCAUCCUUUUAAAAAGGAUUCAACAAAAUAAAGUACCAGUCUAAAAAAUGUGGGUUGACAGAGUUGUUAGUGUCAAACUUAAAUGUAUUGCAGCAUUUAAUCAUGGUCUGAUAUAUUGAGUUUAACUUCCACUGAGGUCAACUAUGCCUUUUGUCCUUCUGGGAUAAAUAAAGUCAAUGUAAUUGACUGAUCCUUUCCCUGAAAUUUCUGGCCUUGUGUCUAAUUUUGAAGACUGAUUAA